AUGGAUCCAUGUGUCUACAUACAUAAAUUUUGUUCAUGGAUUAAUAAAAACGUGCAAGAGCUCUAUUUGCCUCUACCAUUCUAUGAGUCGCUUCUUCUUCGUAUGACACUCCCACUCUCUCUUUGGCAGCAUCUACUAAUUUGGAACUUAAUUUAA
rnacentral:rRNA from 1 species